ensembl:lncRNA
UUCUUUUAAAAGAGGACCAACAUUUCACAGGCAGGAAAAAGACCUGUUUGUGGACAGCAUGUCCUUGACUGUCUCAGAGAUGCUAGCACUGCUGAGUAGGAAGUGCUCUUUUGGAUCUAUUUGCUCUAUAAACAGAAACAAGGAAGGAAGAAACGAAGGAAGCGAGAAGAGAGCGACAUGGUGGAUGUGUCAUCAACAAAGCCACCCCUUACAAGGGUUCCCACAGCAUCUGAUUACAACCCAUGGCAGAGGGUGCAGAGACUUGGGCAGUGCGCAGGAGGGUUGCCUCAGCCUUGUGCCUCUUCCAAGGAGCUGCAGCACCAGGCUCGCAGCUGGAGAAAGAGGUACAACCUCGAAGCACGUAUGUGACACUGUGGGUGGGGAAGAAGAAAUUCUUCCACAGCAUUUGUACAUGAUAAAUAUGGCAGCCAAAAGGCAAGUUCCCAUAUGCCUAGGGGCCACAUGUGCUAUGGAAGCAGCGUAGCAUCUUGGCAUGGAAAAGCAAUACUGGACAAAGGAGCCCAAAGUCUCUGCAGGUCACAGUGUCCCCAGUGGAGAUGAAAGCCCUGGGCUGCGAAGUGGUACCUAUCAGCUGCAUCUGCCACAGGACAGUGUGUUUUGCUUUGAAAGCGACCCCCCUCAAGGAAACAUGUGCUGGGUAUACAAAUGCAGCGUUUCGUUUAUUUAAGGCACAACUGCAAAACCAAACAGUUCUCAGUCACAGAUGUCUUUAACGAAAAACAGCUAUCGGAAUGCUCCUCGUACCGUAAGCAAUGAGUCCUCUCUGUCACGCUCGUAGGAGACGUAACAGUUUUGACGGAUCAACCUAUUAAUCACUUGGCCUCCUAAUGGUUCAUCUGAAAGCGGUCCUUACGAAUGUGCUAGCAUGUUGUGCCGACAGCUCGCCAAGUGAUACACGCACAGAUGUCCCAUGUUCUGCUCCUCCGAGGUCCUGCAAUGACAGGCUCUCCUCUGAGAUACUAACGAAGACUUCAUUCAUCCCACCCUGCUUCCGCUCGUUCGGUCUUUAGUCACUUACCAACUUGUUCCUGUGGCUGCAAAACAUUCACAGCACUAAGAAGAUGUCAGUUCCUGACCCCAUACCACGGCCCCGGCAGCCCGGAUGACUGGCUGGGGUGACGCAUCUCCCCAAGGUGCUGUCAGUGGGAGAUGUUCACGUACACUUCUGUGACAAGCCGUAAGGUUUGCUUGUGUUCACUGGCUCCCCUCAUCGCUUGGAGGAAAUCUGCCUGUGCUCUGCAGCUCCAGCCCUGAGAGCCUUCGUGCUAAGGCUUAAAACUGGUGUGCAAUGAGACCGACAAAGGCACCUGGCUUUUCUUUUUGAAUUCUUUUCUUAAAAAAAACAAACCCAAAAGCUCAGCCAAAAGCAUGCACAGCACUAAACUGCAACAUGUAAACUCAUUACUUCUCUAUAUUUUUGGAAAUUCUUUCAGGCUUAAUCAUUGCCAUUGUCAUUGGAGAGCCAGGAAAGACAGCUACAUCUGGAUUUUCCUCUCCGUAAACUUCAGCUUCAGGAGUAAACACGUGUUUUAUGACGGGGGCUGGCACACGGCAUGGAGUUGCAGCCAAGGGAGGCUUUAGUUCUGCCCACCUGUUCCUGCAAUGCGGACCCCAGUGCACAGCUCCUCUCUCCCUCCCCCUACUAUGUUUCAACCAAAGAGACAACAUCUAACCUUACUGCAACCCUGUCACAUGCUCUAUACACGUUCCCUGGGGUCUCUGUCCCAAAGCAACAGAAGCACUUGUGCCCAUCAGUGUCACCAGGAAAGCUCUGUGCCUGCCCUUGAGAAAGCUGAGACUCACCGUCCGCAAGUAUGGAUGUGUGUGUGUGUUGGUGUGCCAACAGAUAGGAACUGAUUUAUGGAAGAGAAACAGGAAGGAUGAUGGGAGAACAUCUGUAAAACUCCAAGGUUUGGUACAUAGCACUGCUGCUUGGCCUGCUUGUUGUCAAAGGUGAAAGUUUAAGAAUGAAGCAUCCUCGCCCCCCUGUGCUGCAUGAGAAAAGCCAGUGUCACAGGCCUGCAGAAGGCAGUUGUUUGUGUGCAAGGUUCCUGUUUGUUACUCAUUUCCCCUCCCUGUCCCAACACUCUGACUCUUUAAAGCUCUUCCAAGAUUCCUUAUAGGAGGUUUGUUGCCAGCUCAGAGUUUCCUGUUGUACUCAAAGACUCUUAUCUCUGCAAUCUUCAUGCACAUAGCAAGGAGAUUUGUUUUUAUUCAUUUAUUUAUUUUACAACCCAGACCAUUUCUGUGGACUAGCUGGUUUCUCUGUUGCUGACUUAGGUGGUGCAUUUUCUUGGAAAAUUCAACUCCAAUGCUAAAAAAAGAUAUUUUUGCUUUGUCUGUCCCGCGGCGUGAGGAUCCCCGUGUCACAAGGGUGUGCUGGAGCUUCUCCAGCUGCAGCCCAGGCAGCUGGCAGCAGUGGGGUCAGAGUGCUGGCUGUGGCUGCCAGCAUGACUCUUGGCCAGAAGUCACCUUGAAUAACAGCACAGGGUCCCUGGCUCAGCCUUUAGGUGCUAAACGUAGAGUGAAGCAAGUGGUAACACUAGGAAACCUGGGUUUGGGUCCUACAAAAUGUCACACAGAUUUUGGCAUCUGCUAGCCAUCAAUCCUUUAGAGCAUCUGGACUGUAAAACAGUGGCCACUGUAUAAAGGGCCCAGCAGCAGGCCUGGUUCUGAGGAACAAGCUGCUCGGGGUCCAGCAGUCCCAAACCUUGGCUCUGUCCUGUGACCAUGUCCCUGUGGCCAUCAGAUCUCUUUCACAGUGCAGGACAAAGGCUUGCAUCCGGCUGCUAUAUAAGCACUUGUGGCGAUGAAUAAAUAGUUGGGGACCUUCCCAGACACUUGGUCCAGAUUAGGAAAGGAUUUAUCAGCUAGAUUGUUUUAAAUAAGAAGAGCAGGUGAAGGCCUAACAUCCUGGGCCAUUUCUUCCUGCAGGCUGAGUCAGGCUGAGCUGGCCUUGCUCUCCACAUGAAUCAUUCCCUCGUGUUGUCCUUAUGUCUAGGAACAGGCAGGGCUGCCCCAGGGGCUGCACUCUGGGGAAAAGCUGCAGCUGCCCUGUGCUGCCAAGGGGGAUGUUUCUUCUCCCUUCCGUUCUUCCAGGGAAACUGGCAGAGGAUAAACCCCAGUGCACACCCAGAUGGUGAACGAGUGAUGACAACAGCACAAUGUUGUGCCAUCUUCUCAAGUGAGUUCUCAAAGCAAGAGAGCGCCAUGUAGCAGAGAAGCCCGAUCCAUCCUCCCUGCCUAUGGCAGCCACAUAGCAACCCAGGGGGUGCCCGGCGCUGCCAGGACUUCCUUUGCCAGGGCUUCAGAGGCAAACAUUAGCUUUAAGUGGCCAAUCCUUCCCUAAGGCAGCUGGCCAUUUUACAUCACAGCAAGACACUGUGGGCUCCUGGAUGGCACCGACCUCAUAACACAGCUUCACAUGCAGUGGGGAUCCAUUUUCCCAACAGACCCAUGAAUAUGGCAGAGGCAAAUUUUACCUUUCAUUUCUGAAUAGUUUUACUUUUCUAAUGAGGUUGUUUCAGUUGCCCUCACAAGAGACCUGUCAAGCCAAAUCUGGGCAGCCUGCGACUGCGGCAGUGUCAGAUGGAGAAGGAGCAGGUGGCCAUGCCCCUAAGCUCUUUUCUUCCCACAGUGUCAUCCUUGGAGAAUGGUUAGCAAUGCAGCAACCUUGCUUUUGGCAUCAGAAGGUGAUUUACUCACAAAUUAUUGAAAACUCAAGAUUAUUCCCAUUUCCCACACAGCAGCAAAUAAUAAACUAUUAAUAUUAUCCUGACUUGAAGACCUGUGUGGCUUGCCAAAGAUAAUUAUUCGGCUACUCUGAGCAGACCCCAUUAGGCAGCCUUUUGUGGCAUUCAUUUACUCCUGAGCCCCCAAAGACUCAUUAUGUGUGGUCUUGGGGAAGAUCUAGAAAACUCCUCAUCCCCACUGAGAGCACAUGACUGCAUUUUGUGGUGCCACGCCAGUUCUUCAGAGCACAAACAUGGCUCAUCCACCAGAGCCCUCUGGCUUCAGUGCUGGAGCCAUUCCUCAGGGUCCUGCUGGAGAUGCUCCUUGGGGUGCUGCUAUCCUGGCUGCUCUGGGGGGAUGCACUUCAGGCACUUUAUUUGUCUACUGCCAUCCCUUCAUCUGAGGCAGUUUUCACUACUAGCAGCCAUCUCAUGCUGCCACUGUGCCAGCAUUACAAAUUUGCCAUGACUCCAUGCUAUUUCCCCAAGCACUGACAGUGGCGAAAGUAGGAGAGCAACGGACUUCUAGUCUUCCACUUCUGACCAGCAGCAAUACUUAGAUAACAAUCCUCGAUUCCACGUGUUCAUUUUGGUUCUGUGAUUUCGAGGCCAGGUCAGAGUGCAGGGGGAGAAGUGCCAGACAGUGUUUUAAACCAGUUAGCAAUGGUGUGAGGUGACACUGAAAAGUUCCUAAGUAACCGAAAGGUCUAAGUCUCCUUCUCAAAUGCUCUUCAGACAUUCAAAAACUGAAGUCAGGGGGACGGUGCUCUUGAAUGCCUAAAUCACUUGAACUGUGGACAGCAGCUCUUAAGUCCAGUCUGAUGCCUUACUCAAUUUCAGCCACUUAUAAAUGAGCCUUUUUCCUGGCUUUCCUCAGUGCCAACCGUGUGCAAGUGUUGGCAAGAUCUGCGUUAGCUUGUCUGGAGUCUGAACCACUUUGCUGAAUGCUUAAUCAAGCUGCUCGCCCCUCUCUCCCAACAGAGGCCAUUUAUACAGCGAGGGAAUCAGCUGGUCGAUGAAGCAGACAAGAGGAGUGAGGGAGAGGGAGCGAGCUCUUUGAAUGGGAUGAGAACAGAGCCACCGGCACCUCAAGAAAGUUUAUCUGCCUCCAGUGCCAAGCGCACACAGCGCUAAUCUUUUGUUGCCAUGAAUAUUCAAGCCCAGCUGCCAGCAACAGAGGGAGCAGCUGCAGUGGCAGAGCUGGCGGGUCCCCUCGUGGUGCCCUCGCUUGCCGACCCUGGCAUCUGGGGCUGCCUGGGGGUGGGGAGGGGGAGAUGCUGCCUGCGUGGCAGGCCAGAGCCAUUCAGCAGCUUGGCCCCACGCUCCCCGAGCAGCACGAAGCCAGAGAGACAAAUCGCCCAGCGCUGUGCUCCUUCACUGACCUGAGUGUGCCAGGUGCUCCAGAUGUUUGAGGUCAUUUGAAGACCUGCAGGGAAAGGACAAGGAAGAACAACAGCCGGGCAAUUUAAGUUUGAAGAACCCUUGCUGCUGCUGGGAGAAGCCAAAGCGAGGGAAGAGCCCAUGGGCCCCAUGAAAAGCUAGAUACAUGCAGCUGGAUGCAGAUCGCAGUUCUCAUGGUGUAUUUGGUGAUAGGAUGUAUUUGGCAGCAAGUAUGCAGGCUGGGGACUUGCAAAAUCUGGCAGCAGGGGCUGCAGGCAGGCUGGCAGGUGACCAUGCUGCUGCAGUGUCAUGGAAGAGCUGGAGGGCUUCUGGCACUCGAGGAGUCAGGAUGCAGUGAACAGAGGCCACGAGCUCUCCUUGGAUGGUCAACAUGCUCUUCUCUACAGCCUAUAGCAGCUAGAGCACUAUAACACAGACAGCUCUGCCUCCCGUGACACACUGGAACAGGCUGCCCAAGGAGGCUGUGGAUGCCCCAUCCCUGGAGGCAUUCAAGGCCAGGCUGGAUGUGGCUCUGGGCAGCCUGGUCUAGCAGUUGGCAACCCUGCACAUAGCAGGGGGGUUGAAACUAGGUGAUCAUUGUGGUUCUUUUCAACCCAGGCCAUCCUAUGAUUCUAUGAUUCUAUUAUAUGAUUCUAUGACAGGCCAAAGCAGAUAUCCAUGCUUCCAUAGCAUCAUCCUGCCCAACACCAAAGUCGUCAGAGGCAGAAAUGGCCCUGUCCUAGUGCAGAUCACUGGGACCUACCUUGUUUAGCAGUUUUGCCCGGUCAUAUACGGAAAUACUUCAUUGAGGGAGGAGGAGGGGGAGAAAUGGGGAAAAAGAAAAAAAGACUGAGGAAGGGGAAGGCAGGCUGCAAGGAGCUCCCAAGGCUCUGAUGUCUUCCAACCAAACCCAGCGUGUUCACUGCCGCAGAGCUGCAGACAGGGAAGAUGCCAGCGGCUUGUCUCUUUCGUGCACUGAAGAAGGUGAUUCCCAGAGCCCUUGCUAUGAUCAGCUGUCAACUACUGACAUUUAAAAAUAUUUACUUUGUUCUUCUGACUCUCAAAGCCCCUUAAGGAAAGCAGGGUCUCAGAGCAGCAAUAAGUUAGUGUUGCAAUACCAUCAUUACACCACCUCCUACCCAGGAGUGAGAGGUCCCUGCUCUCUGGAUCUCUUUGAUACAGAUAAACAUGAAUGUAAUAGAACCUGCUCGAAUAACCUAAUUGCUGUCUAGGUGUAAUAUGUGUGAAUUUAUGGCAAACUUCUCAGAGCCCAGCCUCCUCACAGUCCACCCUCCAGGCAUGCAUCCCACUUGGUAGUUGAAUGGUCACAGAAUAUAGGUGCUUCCCAUGGAUUUACGGCAGUCUUUGUGAGUGAUAUUAAAAUGGAAAGAGUUUAUGGAUAAGAGGUUUACCCUCAGCAAAGCCAACACCUCCCACUGCUGCUGCUUUUUCACACCAAGAGAUCAAGAGUUUAAAAACUGAUUUCAGACUCCCAAGUUGUUACUGCCACAGUGGUAUAGCAGAAGGAAGGGUCGUGGUCACAAAAGGUAUCUUUGUUUUCUAGAAUUUAAAAUCACUUCUCAUAUGCCACCAUUGCUGUAUUUACUUCCCAAGUGGUCUUGAUGAGUUCUCAUCCAGGUGCUGUGAAAUGCUGGUCUGCGCCCUCAAACACAAUGACAAACUCAACAGGCGUGUGUGCACAGUGAUGCUCCCAUGCCACACGGACAUAGAAUAGUCCAAAUUAUAGAUUACAUAUAGGCCAAGAGUGACACAAGACUCCAGCAAAAUUGUUCAGGCCACAGCUAACAGGGCAAGAUGGGGCAUAUUGGCCGAGGGAAAGCAGAUAGGUGGGCAGACCUGUACCUGGGCUCUCCUGGCAAUGCAGCUGGGGGGGAGCACAGCCUGUUCCAGAUGUGGACAGCGUGACAGGGAAUUUCUGGGUUUGCACCCUGAAUUCAGCUUGCUGAAUUCUGCCAAACUCUGUGCCCAGACCCCCAACUCCUUAGACUAAACAAUUAAUGAACACCAUUAAGCAGCUCUGUUUGUAAUCUGGAAACAGUUUACAAACACAUUGUGGCGGAAGGGUGUCAUGCAGAAUUGUGGACUUAAUGUGUUUUGGCAUAUGCAUUAAAAUUUCCCUUCAUUCCUCUGGUUUGGCACAAGAUGAACUGCACAGAAUGGAAGUGUCUAGCUUUUUUGGUGUGUGUGGAAGCUCUCAGCACAUCCUUUGCUGGUGGCCAGCUCAAGCAGCAGCUGCUGUGGUAGGAACUAUGUCUGAGCCCUGUCCACCAGCUCGUGGUUGUCUCUUGCAAAAGGGAUCGCAGCCCACCAGCAGCCCAAGAGACAUCUGGGGAGAAGGAAGCAUCCUGUCCAAAGCAUCUGCCUGGUUGUGCCAGGUGUAGGAGCACCGCUGGCCUCCCCGCUGCCAGGCGCGUGGUGAUCUUCCCCACAGCUUCUGCAGCACUUCCAGUACCAUGGAACUUCCCCAGGUGUGCUGUAUCACCCAGAUCCUGUGAGUCACUCUGAUGCCGCUUUAACACCUUCAGUCCUUUGCACCAAAGUGUUCCAGAAAGCAGAGGGUCUUGCCAGUGAAUUUUAUCCAAGCGUGGCACAGAAAACACAAAAGCUGUAAUUAUGUUUUGUUUUGUUUUCAAACGAUGCUAUGUACUUCAUGUAGUAUUAUAGGAGAUGCAUCCUAACAUCUGCAAUUCUUUCUGCUGCACCCCCUCAUUUGCAGUCCUUCAGGAAAUCUCUGCAGGGCGCAGGAGCUCCUUGGAUCCUCAUCUGCAAGGGACACAUCUUCAGCUUAGGCAUGAGACAGGGGUGAGGGUGCAGCCCAAGACUGCAGAGGACUAUUUCAGGCAGUCAUACACCAGCCCCUGCCAACCUGCCUGGUGCUAUUUGCCUUGCAGGGGAGAUCAACCACCCUUAGAGUUCCUUUAAGCCCUGUGUUGCUCAGGUCUGAACUCCGCCUUCUCACAGCAAAUCCAUCUCUAAGAAAAACCUGGGGAUAUCUGCGGGACAGGGUCUUAAAACCAAACAUCCCCAAGCAGCAAUGAGCUUGUCUUGGAGGAGGGCUUUAGAUCAUAGCACAGCAACCUGCUUCUGGACCCACCCUGCUCCAGCAUGAUGCUAUGCCGUGCCAGUUUACUACUGAACACUGAUAGCUCCGCAGGUUUGGGCUGUUUCUACUGCAUUUAGAAGUUCAAAAUAAAACAAUAAUAAAAGAGAGGCGAGGAAACUAAACAUGUGAUCGUGCCUGAGCCCAAACAAUUAAAAAAACCAAAAAACCCAAAACCAAUCCCAAGCCUCUGUUUUGUUGCUGACUGAAUAAUCUAAUUUUGACCAGAUGCACAUUGCCUGUUUCUUCAGAGUGAACUGAAUUUUACAGAAAAAGCACCAUCAUUUCACAAUUUGCUGAUGCAGUACCUCGAGCUCAUGCCAGAGC